rnacentral:rRNA from 1 species
CCUGGUGACUACAGCGCAGGGGCAACACCUCUUCCCAUCCCGAACAGAGUAGUUAAGCCCUGCAGCGCCGAUGGUACUACCAUUACGGUGGGAGAGUAGGUCGUUGCCAGGU